GGUUGGCGGUUGCUCGAUCUCUGCGUGUCUCCGAGCGCGCCUCCUCCGCCGCCUCUCCUCCGGCCUCGCGCUCCGCUCCUCCCUCCCCCUCGCUAACCGCUCCGGCAACGCCCUCCCCCUCUCCGCUCCCCCACCCUCGCCGCUCCGCCCUCCUCCCCAUCGCGCACGCCGCCGACGCUCGCGCUCACCACCGCCGCGAGCUCCUCCCUGCAUCGCUGCCCACCACUGCCCCCUCUCCGUGCCCCCACCCUCACGCGCUCGACACCCGCGCUCGCCGCUGCCGCUCUCACGCGCCUGGGCGCCGCUUCGCCCUCCCCCUUGCUCUCCGCUCUUGCCUCCCCGGCGCGCUCGCCGCCGACUCUGCCGCUCUCGCAUCCCCCUCCGCUCUGCAAUGAGCUGGACCUCCACCACCUCCUCAAGUCGCUGAACCUCCGGCCAUCGAGCGCCAUGAACAGCAGAUCUGCCAUUCACGUGGUCCCCCAGCGUCGGAAUAGUGAGCUGGAUCGGAGGCCUGAAAAUUUAUAAUACAUAGUUUCCACAGUCUUUCAUUACACAACCUGCUAGAUGAUAACUGUUGGAACCGAGGAUCGAUGGACGAUCCCAAGAACACGAGGAACACACAAGGAUUUCCGGUGACGAACGCCGCGGCGACGAACGCCUGUAUCUUGGCCUGUUUAUUCACUCAGUUCAGCUCGGCUCAACCCGAACAAACAAGACUACAUCGUGCUUUAUAGCUGCAGCGCUUAGCAACUGCCCCUCCGUGCACUAGCUCCUGAAGACCCGGCCACGACGUACGUGAGCCACUCCUCAUGCGCACGAUCUGGCCUCUUGCCAAGCUCUCCGGAAGGCACGUCUGCGACUCAUCACUGCAGCUAACAGCCCCCCGUGCAGCUAUCCUGCACACAGACACACGCGGCACACCAACGCAUUCACACAAACAGUUAGGUUUAUUCCUAACAAUAACUUAGUUGGCAGGGACAUUACGGGCUUGUUUGCUUGGUGCCCUGGCAAAGCUGCCUGGCCCAGGCAGCGUGCUCAGGCGUCCGAUUUUGGAGGCCUGGGGUCAGGAUCGCUGCCUGGGUGGCGUGCUGCCUGGCAGGGCUGCAUCCAAACAAGCCCUACAUGCUUGGCCUAGCAGUUGUCAAUGGCCAAAAAUUAUCUGAAGGAAUCAAAGCACUGGAGAAGGUCUCUCCCUCCCUCCCUCCUGCCCUAGAUGAUAACGAAUCUUCUACCAUCUGUGCAUGGUCGCAUGAACUGGGCCAUCGGCUGCUUGCCACACAAGACCUCACCUGUCACGUGCAGCGGAAAAAUUGGAAUUGGUGGGAGGAACACGACGCAAAUUGUAUUCAAAGGUAGUAGCAGGGCAUGGCCCUAGACCUCGCCGGCGUGCCGGACCAAGCCGGAGCAAUGACUGAAGCUCACGGCGCACCUGGAAGGCAGGAGCACGAACCAAUCUAAGAUACAAUCUGGACAACCAAAACUACCGCAGGUCAUGGCUUAUAUAUUGCCAAGCCUGGAAACAACUCGUAACAAACUAACCGACUACUAAUCCUAGCAGGGGCGACACUCCGGCGAGGUGGCCACCCUGUCACUGCCCACGUUCGACGUCUUCGAGGAUAUUUGUCAGGAGAACAAUGGAGACUCGGAGCUUUCACAGCUGCACGAUGCCAUCCGAGGAGGUGCCAAGCCGGAACAGUGGUCUGUGGUGGACGGCUUGAUAUUGUUCAAGGGGAGGAUCUUCAUUGCGCCAUCCUCGGGGCUCCUGCCUACAAUAUUGAGGAAAUAUUUUGCUUGAGAGAAUAAUGGUGCAGGAACGCAACUUUGAGCAUAAGGAAAAAUAAUAUAAAAAUCAAUUUACUUCUGCAUCCAAAUUUCCUUGGUUGCUUGAGAUAUUAACAGUUUUGCCUAUACAUGAACCGAGCAGCAUUGUACUCUGCAGAUUUAUGUUGCCAUAUUGAUUUGGGAUGAAAAUAUCUGUUAUCAAGGAGGUGUCACUGAUCCCUUAACAGAUGCCAAUUUCAUCA